GACGAACGCUGGCGGCGUGCUUAACACAUGCAAGUCGAACGGCAAGGCCCUGCUUUUGUGGGGUUCUCGAGUGGCGAACGGGUGAGUAACACGUGAGUAACCUGCCCUUCACUUUGGUAUAACUUCAGGAAACUGGGGCUACUACCGUAUAGGAUCUCCUGCUCCAUUGUGGGGGUUGGAAAGUUUCGGCGGUUGGGGAUGGACUCGCGGCUUAUCAGCUUGUUGGUGGGGUAGUGGCUUACCAAGGCAUUGACGGGUAGCCGGCCUGAGAGGGUGACCGGCCACAUUGGGACUGAGAUACGGCCCAGACUCGUACGGGAGGCAGCAGUGGGGAAUAUUGCACAAUGGGCGGAAGCCUGAUGCAGCAACGCCGCGUGCGGGAUGACGGCCUUCGGGUUGUAAACCGCUUUCGCCUGUGACGAAGCGUGAGUGACGGUAAUGGGUAAAGAAGCACCGGCUAACUACGUG
rnacentral:rRNA from 1 species